AGAGUUUGAUCCUGGCUCAGAUUGAACGCUGGCGGCGUGCCUAACACAUGCAAGUCGAGCGGCAGCGCGGGAGCAAUCCUGGCGGCGAGCGGCGGACGGGUGAGCAAUAUUUGGGAAUCUGCCUAUUAGUGGGGGACAACCCGGGGAAACUCGGGCUAAUACCGCAUACGCACUACGGUGGAAAGCUGGGGACCGCAAGGCCUGGCGCUAAUAGAUGAGCCCAAAUCGGAUAGCUAGUUGGUGAGGUAAUGGCUCACCAAGGCUACGAUCCGUAGCUGGUCUGAGAGGACGACCAGCCACACCGGAACUGAGACACGGUCCGGACUCCUACGGGAGGCAGCAGUGGGGAAUAUUGGACAAUGGGCGAAAGCCUGAUCCAGCGACGCCGCGUGGGUGAAGAAGGCCUGCGGGUUGUAAAGCCCUUUCGGUGGGGAAGAAAAGUCUCGGCUUAAUAAGUCGGGACCUUGACGUAACCUACUAAAGAAGCACCGGCUAACUCUGUGCCAGCAGCCGCGGUAAUACAGAGGGUGCGAGCGUUAAUCGGAAUUACUGGGCGUAAAGCGCGCGUAGGCGGCUUUGCAAGUCGAGUGUGAAAUCCCCAGGCUAAACCUGGGAACUGCAUUCGAGACUGCAUAGCUAGAGUAUGGGAGAGGGAAGUGGAAUUUCAGGUGUAGCGGUGAAAUGCUUAGAUAUCCUGAGGAACACCAAUGGCGAAGGCAGCUUUCUGGCGCGAUACUGACGCUGAGGCUCGAAAGCGUGGGGAGCGAACGGGAUUAGAUACCCCGGUAGUCCACGCCGUAAACGUUGUGCGCUAGGUGUAGGAGGUAUCGACCCCUUCUGUGCCGCAGCUAACGCAUUAAGCGCACCGCCUGGGGAGUACGGUCGCAAGACUGAAACUCAAAGGAAUUGACGGGGGCCCGCACAAGCGGUGGAGCAUGUGGUUUAAUUCGAGGCAACGCGAAGAACCUUACCCAGACUUGACAUCCCAGGACAGCUUAUGAAAGUAAGUCUUCCCUUCGGGGACCUGGAGACAGGUGUUGCAUGGCUGUCGUCAGCUCGUGUCGUGAGAUGUUGGGUUAAGUCCCGCAACGAGCGCAACCCCUAUUCUUAGUUACCAUCGGGUAAUGCCGGGCACUCUAAGAAGACCGCCGGUGAUAAACCGGAGGAAGGCGGGGACGACGUCAAGUCAUCAUGGCCCUUACGUCUGGGGCUACACACGUGCUACAAUGGCCGGUACAAUGGGCUGCAAUACCGCGAGGUGGAGCCAACCCCAAAAAACCGGUCUCAGUUCGGAUUGGAGUCUGCAACUCGACUCCAUGAAGCCGGAAUCGCUAGUAAUCGAGGAUCAGCUACGCCUCGGUGAAUACGUUCCCGGGCCUUGUACACACCGCCCGUCACAUGACCCGAGUCGGUUGCACCCGAAGUCACUGGCCUAACCCGCAAGGGAAGGAGGUGCCGAAGGUGUGAUUGGUGAGGGGGAUGAAGUCGUAACAAGGUA
rnacentral:rRNA from 1 species